UACGUAGGGGCGAGCGUUGUCCGGAAUUAUUGGGCGUAAAGAGCGUGUAGGCGGUUCGGUAAGUCUGCCGUGAAAACCUGGGGCUCAACCCCGGGCGUGCGGUGGAUACUGCCGGGCUAGAGGGUGGUAGAGGCGAGUGGAAUUCCCGGUGUAGCGGUGAAAUGCGCAGAUAUCUGGAGGAACACCGGUGGCGAAGGCGGCAUCCUGGACCAACACUGACACUGAGGAGCGAAAGCCAGGGGAGCAAACGGG
rnacentral:rRNA from 1 species